rnacentral:misc_RNA from 1 species
GAUGAAGAACGUAGCGAAAUGCGAUAAGUAAUGUGAAUUGCAGAAUUCAGUGAAUCAUCGAAUCUUUGAACGCACAUUGCGCCCGCCAGUAUUCUGGCGGGCAUGCCUGUUCGAGCGUCAUUUCAACCCCUCAAGCACGGCUUGUGUGUUGGGCCUCCGUCCUCCUCCCGGGGGACGGGCCCGAAAGGCAGCGGCGGCACCGCGUCCGGUCCUCGAGCGUAUGGGGCUUCGUCACCCGCUCUUGUAGGCCCGGCCGGCGCUUGCCGACACAUCAAUCUUUUUUCCAGGUUGACCUCGGAUCAGGUAGGGAUACCCGCUGAACUUAAGCAUAUCAAUAAGCGGAGGA